rnacentral:rRNA from 1 species
AGAGUUUGAUCAUGGACUCGAGGACGAACGCUGGCGGCGUGCUUAACACAUGCAAGUCGAACGGUAAGGCCCUUCGGGGUACACGAGUGGCGAACGGGUGAGUAACACGUGGGUGAUCUGCCCUGCACUUCGGGAUAAGCCUGGGAAACUGGGUCUAAUACCGGAUAGGACUCCUGGCUUCAUGGUUGGGGGUGUAAAGCUUUUGCGGUGUGGGAUGGGCCCGCGGCCUAUCAGCUUGUUGUGGGGUAAUGGCCUACCAAGGCGACGACGGGUAGCCGGCCUGAGACGGGUGACCGGCCACACUGGGACUGAGAUACGGCCCAGACUCCUACGGGAGGCAGCAGUGGGGAAUAUUGCACAAUGGGCGCAAGCCUGAUGCAGCGACGCCGCGUGAGGGAUGACGGCCUUCGGGUUGUAAACCUCUUUCAAUAGGGACGAAGCGCAAGUGACGGUACCUAUAGAAGAAGGACCGGCCAACUACGUG